GAUGAACGCUGGCGGCGUGCCUAAUACAUGCAAGUCGAGCGAACGGACGAGAAGCUUGCUUCUCUGACGUUAGCGGCGGACGGGUGAGUAACACGUGGAUAACCUACCUAUAAGACUGGGAUAACUUCGGGAAACCGGAGCUAAUACCGGAUAAUAUUUUGAACCGCAUGGUUCAAAAGUGAAAGACGGUCUUGCUGUCACUUAUAGAUGGAUCCGCGCUGCAUUAGCUAGUUGGUAAGGUAACGGCUUACCAAGGCAACGAUGCAUAGCCGACCUGAGAGGGUGAUCGGCCACACUGGAACUGAGACACGGUCCAGACUCCUACGGGAGGCAGCAGUAGGGAAUCUUCCGCAAUGGGCGAAAGCCUGACGGAGCAACGCCGCGUGAGUGAUGAAGGUCUUCGGAUCGUAAAACUCUGUUAUUAGGGAAGAACAUAUGUGUAAGUAACUGUGCACAUCUUGACGGUACCUAAUCAGAAAGCCACGGCUAACUACGUGCCAGCAGCCGCGGUAAUACGUAGGUGGCAAGCGUUAUCCGGAAUUAUUGGGCGUAAAGCGCGCGUAGGCGGUUUUUUAAGUCUGAUGUGAAAGCCCACGGCUCAACCGUGGAGGGUCAUUGGAAACUGGAAAACUUGAGUGCAGAAGAGGAAAGUGGAAUUCCAUGUGUAGCGGUGAAAUGCGCAGAGAUAUGGAGGAACACCAGUGGCGAAGGCGACUUUCUGGUCUGUAACUGACGCUGAUGUGCGAAAGCGUGGGGAUCAAACAGGAUUAGAUACCCUGGUAGUCCACGCCGUAAACGAUGAGUGCUAAGUGUUAGGGGGUUUCCGCCCCUUAGUGCUGCAGCUAACGCAUUAAGCACUCCGCCUGGGGAGUACGACCGCAAGGUUGAAACUCAAAGGAAUUGACGGGGACCCGCACAAGCGGUGGAGCAUGUGGUUUAAUUCGAAGCAACGCGAAGAACCUUACCAAAUCUUGACAUCCUUUGACAACUCUAGAGAUAGAGCCUUCCCCUUCGGGGGACAAAGUGACAGGUGGUGCAUGGUUGUCGUCAGCUCGUGUCGUGAGAUGUUGGGUUAAGUCCCGCAACGAGCGCAACCCUUAAGCUUAGUUGCCAUCAUUAAGUUGGGCACUCUAAGUUGACUGCCGGUGACAAACCGGAGGAAGGUGGGGAUGACGUCAAAUCAUCAUGCCCCUUAUGAUUUGGGCUACACACGUGCUACAAUGGACAAUACAAAGGGCAGCGAAACCGCGAGGUCAAGCAAAUCCCAUAAAGUUGUUCUCAGUUCGGAUUGUAGUCUGCAACUCGACUACAUGAAGCUGGAAUCGCUAGUAAUCGUAGAUCAGCAUGCUACGGUGAAUACGUUCCCGGGUCU
rnacentral:rRNA from 1 species